rnacentral:rRNA from 1 species
UACGUAGGGUGCAAGCGUUGUCCGGAAUUAUUGGGCGUAAAGAGCUCGUAGGCGGUUUGUCGCGUCUGCUGUGAAAACUGGAGGCUCAACCUCCAGCCUGCAGUGGGUACGGGCAGACUAGAGUGCGGUAGGGGAGAUUGGAAUUCCUGGUGUAGCGGUGGAAUGCGCAGAUAUCAGGAGGAACACCGAUGGCGAAGGCAGAUCUCUGGGCCGUAACUGACGCUGAGGAGCGAAAGCAUGGGGAGCGAACCGG